UGGAAAGUCAACGUGAAAAAGAUACACGGCAUUGGAUUCUUCUUAAGGCUGCUGAAUAGUGGUACAUCUGUUCGGGAAUGCCAUCUGGAGUCAUUUGAGGCUAAUAAGGUCUAAUAUUCCUUCUGAAAGAGAGCCUGCUAUCAUUUUUCAAGAGGAUUUCUUUUAAAACAACCAACUUGCUGUUCCGGUCCUGCCUGGAGGGCUCAUCCAUUUCCAGCUGUGAACUGUGAACUUCCCUCCUCAAGGUGGUCUGAAUGGAACUGUGUUCCCAGGUGGAUGUGAACUCUCCUGAACUUCCUCAGAACCUCCAGGACUCUGUCCAGUUAACACAGGCUGAAAGGCAGGAUGUUCAAAUGCAUUAGCAGUAGAUUUUUAUUUUUUUCCUCAUAAAAAAACACAUUAUUUUUCUCCA